AGAAGAUUUCUGAAUAUAUUGUCUUAAAGAGAAGAUUUCUGAAUACACAGCCCUAUAAAUACAUGCUAGAAGACUUCUAAUAAGGAAACAAAUUUCCUUAUGACUACCUACUCAAAACCCUAAAACUCCAGACUGCCUAAUAUAUAUAGAUUCCAUAUUACUUAUAUAUUCCAUAACAAGAAUAGAGUACCAGUUUCCUAUCUAAUAUCCAACAUUCUAAACAGAUUUAGGACAGCAACAAGUGGUAUUAAAAUUUCACACCUUGAAGCUUGAUUACAUCACCAUUGCUGGUUUUAGGCUCAAACUUUUGUUUGUUUUUGAGAGAUAUGUCUCGUCAAUGUGAAUAGUAAAUGGGCAAAAUUCAAAUUACGUACAGCAGAAAAUACAAAGUAUGCAUGCUGAUCAUAUCUGAUGAAUUAAUGACUAUGCUUCAUUUCAGAAUCUACCUAAUACUAGCAGCAGGAGCACAAGUGCUGUACCACAAACAGUUAGCAGAUAAGCAUAUAAAAAUAAAGGUGGAGGUGAAACG